rnacentral:tRNA from 1 species
GAGGGCAUAGCUCAGUGGUAGAGUGUGUGCCUGGCAUGCAGGAGGUCCUGGGUUCAAUCCCCAGUGCCUCUA